rnacentral:rRNA from 1 species
GAUGGGCAUGCGUGACAUUAGCUAGUUGGUAGGGUAACGGCCUACCAAGGCCACGAUGUCUAGGGGUCCUGAGAGGGUGAUCCCCCACACUGGUACUGAGACACGGACCAGACUCCUACGGGAGGCAGCAGUGAGGAAUAUUGGUCAAUGGGCGCAAGCCUGAACCAGCCAUCCCGCGUGCAGGAAGAAGGCGCUAUGCGUUGUAAACUGCUUUUCCAGGGGAAGAAAACCUCCGACGUGUCGGGGCUUGCCGGUACCUUGGGAAUAAGCAUCGGCUAACUCCGUGCCAGCAGCCGCGGUAAUACGGAGGAUGCAAGCGUUAUCCGGAUUCAUUGGGUUUAAAGGGUGCGUAGGCGGACCAAUAAGUCAGUGGUGAAAACCUGCAGCUUAACUGUAGAGGUGCCAUUGAUACUGUUAGUCUUGAGUAUGGUCAAGGUAGGCGGAACGUGUAAUGUAGCGGUGAAAUGCUUAGAUAUUACACAGAACACCGAUUGCGAAGGCAGCUUACUGGACCAUCACUGACGCUGAUGCACGAAAUCGUGGGGAGCGAACAGGAUUAGAU